GGUGGACAGGUGGUGCAUGGUUGUCGUCAGCUCGUGUCGUGAGAUGUUGGGUUAAGUCCCGCAACGAGCGCAACCCCUACUUGUUAGUUGCCAUCAUUCAGUUGGGCACUCUAGCGAGACUGCCGGUAAUAAACCGGAGGAAGGUGGGAUGACGUCAAAUCAUCAUGCCCCUUGUGUUCUGGGCUACACACGUGCUACAAUGGCCGGUACAGACGGACGCAAAGCCGCGAGGUGGAGCAAAUCCUAAAAAGCCGGUCUCAGUUCGGAUUGCAGGCUGCAAUUCGCCUGCAUGAAGUCGGAAUCGCUAGUAAUCGCAGGUCAGCAUACUCGCGGUCGAAUACGUUCCCGGGCCUU
rnacentral:rRNA from 1 species